AAGAGGCAUCCGUUCCCAGCUUAUACAACAUCCAGUACCAGUUCCACAGCCAACAAUGGAUAGAUUUGGUCUUCCUUGAAGCAUUUAGAGACCUGUAGAAUGAACUUAACUUCUGAAAACUGGGUGCGGGGCCAAUAGAGGGGCUGCUCGAUACCUCACCAGCCUGCUAUGCGGAAGGCUAGAUGGAGGGGCUGCUAAAGGAAGAGAACUGCUGUUCCAACUCCGCCUCCUCCCUGCAGUGUGGCUUCUUAGAAAAGGAGAUACCGCUGGCCCUCCAUAUUCACAAGCUCUGCAUCUGUGGGUUCAGCCAACUAUGGAUCGAAAUAUGCAACUUCAUAUUAUCUUCAUUCAGGAGGGAGAACCCUGAGUUCUUCUGGGUUGGAUCUAAGCAUGUAAGACUAUUGAGUUACAUUUGACUUCUGAAGUCAGUUUUUGUCUUUACUUUUUAGUCAGCUUGUGAAAGCAAAAAGCAUCUUAUUUUUAAAAUACCUGUGUUAGUACCCUGGAAUAACACUGGCAUUUCCUAGCCCAAACUGAGACUAAAAGUUUUGAAUUAAUCUUUCCCUCAACUUACAAGAAAACAGUUAUC
rnacentral:sRNA from 1 species